rnacentral:sRNA from 1 species
AGGCUCAGGCUCCUGCUACUGCCUAGGCCUCUACCAGCUGCUGUGCUUCAAGCAGAAGGACGGGAUUUCUACAGACUAGGGCUCAACCGGCUGCCUACUUGGGAUCGGGGCGAGGUGGUGGGACCUCCCGCAGCCAUAAGAGCCUGGGGGCAACCAGGCAGAAACUGCUGGUGUGAUAACAGUUGGUGUCUGCCCAGGACACCCUCUCUCCUCUCUUCCUUCCCUUGCACAAGAAUUAGUACAGUUCCUACCUCAUCAUCUUCGUGAGGGUCGGUGAAUUAAUUUAUGUCCAUAAAGGAAAAAAGCGAGGGCUGGAGAGGCGCCAGACACACGGCCUCACGCACAUACAGGCGGGUGGAUGCAUGUCCUACUAUGAGUGUGGAGGUGAGAGUGUGGAUGGUUCUCUCCUUCCAUCCAGGGUCCUGAAGCCUGGGAAAGGAAAGGAAGACAGGACCCCAAGUCAAGGAAAAGGCUUUCCAGCUGACAACUGAACAGCCUCCAUCAUGAGGAAAGCAGAGGCCGGACAACUGUGGAGCCCAGCAGUUCAAAGCCAGCCUGGGCAACCGAGCGAGACCUUGUCCAAAAGAGAGGGGGUCAGGGCCCAGUGUUAUAGCAUCUAUUUACCACAGCACAGACAAGGGACAAUAUCAUCAUAGCCUAAAACAAGAUGUAGAGCUCUCAGCACCGUGUUUCAUGUUUCUCGCUAUGACAACGAUGGACUGAACCUCUGAACUGGGCCUGCCCCACACUUGGAAGGAGGAAGGCUGCAGGGACGCAUCUAAGCGGACAGGCCCUGCAUGGCCUGCAUAGUCUGUUGUCACAAGAUCAGAUCCUCACACUUCUAUAUGACUGUGUGCUUUCAAGGUACCUACGUAUAAAGCAGACAGCUCCCUGGGGUCUUCGGGUCUUUGUUCUUGAAAGCUCCCAUGUCAUAUAGACCUUGGAUUUUCUGUAUAUGUCAUGCCUUUUCUAUGUAAUGAAGGCAUGGUCACUCUGUAAAGAGAACACAACCCAGGCCAAGAUGGAAGGACUGGAGCCAGGCCAGGACUGCAGACAGACACUGCUGCUCCCGUGGGUACUCACUGUCUUCAUCCCAGCAAGCUGAGGCCAGAGGUGGGGGAGGACACAGGAAGAACCAGCUGGCUGGGUAGGCUGGGCUGGCACGCAGUGAGUACACAGAGGAAUAAAGGAGAGAGAAGCUAACUGUUCUCUCAGGAGCCAGGGUUCCUGCUGUGACCUGUUCCCGGUUGUGGGAGGAUAAAAGGCCCCCAUACUCUGUAAGGUUUCAGAGUCGGCGGACGUUUAGGGAAUGUACUUUUGGAAUUAGUUUAUAUUUGUCUUCCUCCCUCCCUCCCUCCCUCCCUCCCUCCCUUCCUUCCUUCCUUCCUUUCUUCCUUCCUGAGACAGAGUUCUAGGCUGACUAAAACUCAAUAUGAUGACUUUAAGACUUGUUUGUAGGGGUUGGGGAUUUAGCUC